CCUACGGUUGACAGCAGUGGGGGAUAUUGCACAAUGGGGGAAACCCUGAUGCAGCGACGCCGCGUGAGUGAAGAAGUAUUUCGGUAUGUAAAGCUCUAUCAGCAGGGAAGUAAAUGACAGUACCUGACCAAGUAGCCCCGGCUAACUACGUGCCAGCAGCCGCGGGAAUACGUAGGGGGCCAGCGUUAUCCGGAUUUACUGGGUGUAAAGGGAGCGUAGACGGUUAUGUAAGUCUGGAGUGAAAGCCCGGGGCCCAACCCCGGGACUGCUUUUGAAACUGGCGCGCUGGAGUGCCGGAGGGGUAGGCGGAAUUCGUGGUGUAGCGGUGAAAUGCGUAGAUAUUAGGAGGAACACCAGUGGCGAAGGCGGCCUACUGGACGGUGACUGACGCUGAGGCUCGAAAGCGUGGGGAGCAAACAGGAUUAGAUACCCCGGUAGUC
rnacentral:rRNA from 1 species